rnacentral:sRNA from 1 species
AAAUUAUUCAUCGACGGAAAACUUUACUCCGAUGAUGGUCCUGUCCAGAUGAAGGCAACGCCAACCCAACCGAAGGCAUCGGGAAGAAGAGGUCAAAAACACGGCAGAGGGAAAUAGAGGGGUCAGGAGAACCAAACUGGACUGCGCAUAAUAGCAUGGAACAUACAUGGAGGUCUCGAAAACAAAUGGAGUGAGAGAAAUUUCAAAUCAUUUUUGUGUACAUACGACAUAAUCUGUCUUUCUGAAUGUUGGAUUGGAAAGGAUUUCAACAUCAGUGACCAAAAUUUUCAAUCAUUUGUGUUCCCAAGGAAAUCAGGAAAAUCACAGGGCGGGGGAACAGUAGUGCUUAUAAGAAAUGUUUAUACUCCGUUUAUAUCCUUUGUGGAAUCUUUACAUGAUACUAUUGUUUGGCUUAAGAUAGAUAAGAGUUUUUGUAAUCAUACGAAAGAUAUUUAUAUUGCAUUUACUUAUUUUCCACCUAGUAAUUCAACUUUCUUAAAAGAAAGGGAUAUAGAUUUGUUUAUGGAAUUAGAAAAUCAGUUAAGUUACUACAUGUCUAUUGGUGAUAUCUUUUUAUUUGGCGAUUUUAAUAGCAGAACAAAAACUUUGCCUGACUAUAUUGUGAAUGAUCAGGUGCAUGAGUCUGUACUGGACAACAACUUACAAUAUAGCUCCGACAAUCAGCUGACUGAAAGGGUCAACCCAGAUCUAGGUCACAAUGAGUACGGACAGCGUCUAUUGUCAUUGUGUAGAUCUACGGGCGUGCGCAUUGUUAACGGUCGGCACAGUGGAGGACAUUCCAAUGACUACACUUUCAACGGCGCUCGCGGACUCAGCACAAUUGAUUAUCUACUAACUACAUAUGAUAUGUUUGAUUUUAUUAGUAAAUUCAUUGUCUGCAAUUUU